AAAAUAUUCCCUCCUUCCCAAAGUUCUUGUCUUAGAUUUGUCUAAAUACGGAUGUAUCAAGUCACAUUUUAGUAUUAGAUACAUCUGUAUCUAGACAAAUUUAAGACAAGAAUUUUGGGACGGAGGGAGUAUAUC
rnacentral:pre_miRNA from 1 species